CAAUAGCGUAUAUUAAAGUUGUUGCGGUUAAAAAGCUCGUAGUUGGAUUUCUGUUGGGAACGACCGGUCCGCCCAUUGGGUGUGUAUCUGGCUUGUUCUCGGCAUCUUCUUGGUGAACGUUGCUGCACUUGACUGUGUGGAGCGCUACCCAGGACUUUUACUUUGAGGAAAUUAGAGUGUUUCAAGCAGGCAUAUGCCUUGAAUACAUCAGCAUGGAAUAAUAAGAUAGGACCUCGGUUCUAUUUUGUUGGUUUCUAGAGCUGAGGUAAUGAUUAAUAGGGAUAGUUGGGGGCAUUCGUAUUUAACUGUCAGAGGUGAAAUUCUUGGACUUGUUAAAGACGGACUACUGCGAAAGCAUUUGCCAAGGAUGUUUUCAUUGA
rnacentral:rRNA from 1 species